CUACCCCGCUGAACUUAAAGCAUAUCAAUAAGCGGAGGAAAAGAAACUAACAAGGAUUCCCCUAGUAACUGCGAGUGAACCGGGAAAAGCUCAAAUUUUGAAUCUGGCGGUCUUCAGGCCGUCCGAGUUGUAAUCUAGAGAAGCGUCUUCCGCGCUGGACCGUGUAUAAGUUUCCUGGAAUGGAACGUCGUAGAGGGUGAGAAUCCCGUCUUUGACACGGACUGCCAGGGCUAUGUGAUGCGCUCUCGACGAGUCGAGUUGUUUGGGAAUGCAGCUCAAAUAGGGUGGUAAAUUCUAUCUAAAGCUAAAUACAGGCGAGAGACCGAUAGCGAACAAGUACCGUGAGGGAAAGAUGAAAAGAACUUUGGAAAGAGAGUUAAACAGUACGUGAAAUUGCUGAAAGGGAAACGCUUGAUGUCAGUCGCGUCGUCCGGGGAUCAGCCUUGCUCUUUUGCUCGGUGUAUUUCCUGGUCGACGGGUCAGCAUCGGUUUUGACCGUCGGAAAAUGGCUCGAGGAAUGUGGCACCCUUCGGGGUGUGUUAUAGACUCGGGUCGAAUACGGCGAUUGGGACCGAGGAACUCAGCACGACCUUAGGGUUCGGGGCUUCGGCCCACGUUAACGUGCUUAGGAUGCUGGCAUAAUGGCCUUAAGCGACCCGUCUUGAAACACGG
rnacentral:rRNA from 1 species